rnacentral:rRNA from 1 species
UACGUAGGGUCCGAGCGUUGUCCGGAAUUACUGGGCGUAAAGAGCUCGUAGGUGGUUUGUCGCGUUGUUCGUGAAAACUCACAGCUCAACUGUGGGCGUGCGGGCGAUACGGGCAGACUAGAGUACUGCAGGGGAGACUGGAAUUCCUGGUGUAGCGGUGGAAUGCGCAGAUAUCAGGAGGAACACCGGUGGCGAAGGCGGGUCUCUGGGCAGUAGCUGACGCUGAGGAGCGAAAGCGUGGGUAGCAAACGGG